GGAUCCGCCUUCAAGACGCCAAACCCGCGUGACUGUCGCAUUCGUUUUGGUGCCGCACAGAGGAUCAGUUCCGCCUCCAGGCGGCCCCGUAAAUUCUACUGUCAAACAGCGGAUCCUGAGUGGACCCAUGUCGGAUCCGCGGGCGCGGACGCGCAUUUACUGUAACGGUUGAACAUGACUGUACACCAAGAGCCAAGAAGAGUCAUACUAGUGGAUAUUUUCUUUGCUGGGACACAGUUGCGCUGAACCCUCUCGACCAUCGUUUCGGGGACUCUGAUGACAGUGAAGAGCCAGAAAAUGGUGACUUUGCAUCUCUGAGGUACCUUUCAACUCGCCUGGUAUAUCAGUUGAAGCCUCAAGCCCAAGCCAAUUGCACUGGCAAACUCCACCAUCUCGCCGAGUGCCAGGCAGCCGAGUCACUACCCCUCAACCUGGAGAAAACUGUUAAGGUAAAGACUGAUCUCUGAAAUAAUAUUGAAUACAGUGGCCCCAUCUAUAUUAACACAGCAGUAGUCACUCCAUGUCAGAUCAACAGAUUGCAUCUGCAUUACCAUCUGAGAUUUUCUGCAUACUUUAUCCAUUACUUUCAAAAUCUCAGCCAAAUAUUUUGUCAGUUAAAACAUCUGCAUUCAUGCAAUAUUGCCUGAAAAGUUCAUUCAUUAUUAUCAGAUUGUAUUGAAACACAUUGAUUUCAAUGU